CGAAGGGGCGUAGCGUUGUUCGGAAUCACUGGGCGGUAAAAGGGUGGCGUAGGCGGGAGUCUUAAGUCAGGGGUGGAAAUCCCGAGGCUCAACCUCGGAACUGCCUUUGAUACUGGGGUCCUUGAGUCCGGAAGAGGUGAGUAGAACUGCGAGUGUAGAGGUGAAAUUCGUAGAUAUUCGCAAGAACACCGGUGGCGAAGGCGGCUCACUGGUCCGGAACUGACGCUGAGGCACGACAGCGUGGGGAGCAAACAGGAUU
rnacentral:rRNA from 1 species